AGAGUUUGAUCAUGGCUCAGAACGAACGCUGGCGGCGUGGAUAAGACAUGCAAGUCGAACGCUGACACUUAGGUAGCAAUAUUUGAGUGUUGGAGUGGCGCAAGGGUGUGUAACACGUGAGUAAUCUGCCGUGAAGUCUGGGAUAACUCGCUGAAAGGCGAGCUAAUACCGGAUGUGAAUGAAAAUUCAAAGUUGGGGGAUCGCAAGACCUGACGCUUUACGAUGAGCUCGCGGCCUAUCAGCUAGUUGGUGAGGUAAAGGCUCACCAAGGCUAAGACGGGUAGCUGGUCUGAGAGGACGACCAGCCACACUGGAACUGAGACACGGUCCAGACACCUACGGGUGGCAGCAGUCGAGAAUUUUUCUCAAUGGGCGAAAGCCUGAAGGAGCGACGCCGCGUGGGGGAUGAAUGGCUUCGGCCCGUAAACCCCUGUCAUUUGCGAACAAAUUAAUCUACCCAACACGUGGAUUAUUGAUUGUAGCGAAAGAGGAAGGGACGGCUAACUCUGUGCCAGCAGCCGCGGUAAUACAGAGGUCCCAAGCGUUGUUCGGAUUCACUGGGCGUAAAGGGUGCGUAGGCGGUCAUUUAAGUCUGACGUGAAAUCUCCGGGCCUAACCCGGAAACUGCGUUGGAAACUAUCUGACUAGAGGAAUGGAGGGGAGACUGGAAUACUUGGUGUAGCAGUGAAAUGCGUAGAUAUCAAGUGGAACACCAGUGGCGAAGGCGAGUCUCUGGACAUUUCCUGACGCUGAGGCACGAAAGCCAGGGGAGCAAACGGGAUUAGAUACCCUAGUAGUCC
rnacentral:rRNA from 1 species